CAGCAGCCACGGGAAUACGGAGGGGGCUAGCGUUGUUCGGAAUUACUGGGCGUAAAGCGCACGUAGGCGGCUUGGUAAGUUAGAGGUGAAAGCCUGGAGCUCAACUCCAGAAUUGCCUUUAAGACUGCCGAGCUAGCAGGUGAGAGAGGUAAGUGGAAUUCCGAGUGUAGAGGUGAAAUUCGUAGAUAUUCGGAAGAACACCAGUGGCGAAGGCGGCUUACUGGCUCAUACUGGACGCUGGGGUGCGAAAGCGUGGGGAGCAAACAGGAUUAGAUACCCGCGUAGUCCCUGUCUCUUAUAC
rnacentral:rRNA from 1 species